AUUGAACGCUGGCGGAAUGCUUUACACAUGCAAGUCGAACGGUAGAGGGGGCAACCCCUCGAGAGUGGCGAACCGGUGAGUAAUAUAUCGGAACGUGCCCAGUCGUGGGGGAUAACGUAGCGAAAGUUACGCUAAUACCGCAUACGAUCUAAGGAUGAAAGCGGGGGAUCGCAAGACCUCGCGCGAUCGGAGCGGCCGAUAUCAGAUUAGGUAGUUGGUGGGGUAAAGGCUCACCAAGCCAACGAUCUGUAGCUGGUCUGAGAGGACGACCAGCCACACUGGAACUGAGACACGGUCCAGACUCCUACGGGAGGCAGCAGUGGGGAAUUUUGGACAAUGGACGCAAGUCUGAUCCAGCCAUUCCGCGUGCAGGAUGAAGGCCCUCGGGUUGUAAACUGCUUUUGUACGGAACGAAAAGGUCUCUCUUAAUACGGGGGGCUCAUGACGGUACCGUAAGAAUAAGCACCGGCUAACUACGUGCCAGCCGCCGCCGUAA
rnacentral:rRNA from 1 species